AGAGCGGCGUACGGGUGCGGAACACGUGUGCAACCUGCCUUUAUCUGGGGGAUAGCCUUUCGAAAGGAAGAUUAAUACCCCAUAAUAUAUUGAAUGGCAUCAUUUGAUAUUGAAAACUCCGGUGGAUAGAGAUGGGCACGCGCAAGAUUAGAUAGUUGGUGAGGUAACGGCUCACCAAGUCUGCGAUCUUUAGGGGGCCUGAGAGGGUGAUCCCCCACACUGGUACUGAGACACGGACCAGACUCCUACGGGAGGCAGCAGUGAGGAAUAUUGGACAAUGGGUGAGAGCCUGAUCCAGCCAUCCCGCGUGAAGGACGACGGCCCUAUGGGUUGUAAACUUCUUUUGUAUAGGGAUAAACCUACUCUCGUGAGAGUAGCUGAAGGUACUAUACGAAUAAGCACCGGCUAACUCCGUGCCAGCAGCCGCGGUAAUACGGAGGGUGCAAGCGUUAUCCGGAUUUAUUGGGUUUAAAGGGUCCGUAGGCGGAUCUGUAAGUCAGUGGUGAAAUCUCACAGCUUAACUGUGAAACUGCCAUUGAUACUGCAGGUCUUGAGUGUUAUUGAAGUAGCUGGAAUAAGUAGUGUAGCGGUGAAAUGCAUAGAUAUUACUUAGAACACCAAUUGCGAAGGCAGGUUACUAAGCAACAACUGACGCUGAUGGACGAAAGCGUGGGGAGCGAACAGGAUUAGAUACCCUGGUAGUCCACGCCGUAAACGAUGCUAACUCGUUUUUGGGGCUUAAGCUUCAGAGACUAAGCGAAAGUGAUAAGUUAGCCACCUGGGGAGUACGUUCGCAAGAAUGAAACUCAAAGGAAUUGACGGGGGCCCGCACAAGCGGUGGAUUAUGUGGUUUAAUUCGAUGAUACGCGAGGAACCUUACCAAGGCUUAAAUGGGAAAUGACAGGUUUAGAAAUAGACUUUUCUUCGGACAUUUUUCAAGGUGCUGCAUGGUUGUCGUCAGCUCGUGCCGUGAGGUGUUAGGUUAAGUCCUGCAACGAGCGCAACCCCUGUCACUAGUUGCCAUCAUUAAGUUGGGGACUCUAGUGAGACUGCCUACGCAAGUAGAGAGGAAGGUGGGGAUGACGUCAAAUCAUCACGGCCCUUACGCCUUGGGCCACACACGUAAUACAAUGGCCAGUACAGAGGGCAGCUACACUGCGAAGUGAUGCAAAUCUCGAAAGCUGGUCUCAGUUCGGAUUGGAGUCUGCAACUCGACUCUAUGAAGCUGGAAUCGCUAGUAAUCGCGCAUCAGCCAUGGCGCGGUGAAUACGUUCCCGGGCCUUGUACACACCGCCCGUCAAGCCAUGGAAGUCUGGGGUACCUGAAGUCGGUGACCGUAAC
rnacentral:rRNA from 1 species